rnacentral:rRNA from 1 species
UACAUGGGGUGCAAACGUUGCUCGGAAUCAUUGGGCGUAAAGCGCGCGUAGGCGGUUACUUACGUCGGAUGCGAAAGCCCCCGGCUUAACUGGGGAGGGUCAUUCGAUACUGUUCGACUUGAAGGCAGGAGAGGGCAGCAGAAUUCCCGGUGUAGUGGUGAAAUGCGUAGAUAUCGGGAGGAAUACCAGUGGCGAAGGCGGCUGCCUGGCCUGUUCUUGACGCUGAGGCGCGAAAGCUGGGGGAGCAAACGGG